CCUUACCCACCUUUGACAUGUACGGAAUCCUUUAGAGAUAGAGGAGUGCUACGAAAGAGAACCGUAACACAGGUGCUGCAUGGCUGUCGUCAGCUCGUGUCGUGAGAUGUUGGGUUAAGUCCCGCAACGAGCGCAACCCUUGUCAUUAGUUGCUACAUUCAGUUGGGCACUCUAAUGAGACUGCCGGUGACAAACCGGAGGAAGGUGGGGAUGACGUCAAGUCCUCAUGGCCCUUAUAGGUGGGGCUACACACGUCAUACAAUGGAUGGUACAAAGGGUCGCCAACCCGCGAGGGGGAGCCAAUCCCAUAAAGCCAUUCGUAGUCCGGAUCGCAGUCUGCAACUCGACUGCGUGAAGUCGGAAUCGCUAGUAAUCGUAGAUCAGCAUGCUACGGUGAAUACGUUCCCGGGCCUU
rnacentral:rRNA from 1 species